rnacentral:rRNA from 1 species
CACGUAGGGCGCAAGCGUUGUCCGGAAUUAUUGGGCGUAAAGAGCUCGUAGGCGGUCUGUUGCGUCCGCUGUGAAAACUCGGGGCUUAACCCCGAGCCUGCAGUGGAUACGGGCAGACUAGAGGUAGGUAGGGGAGAAUGGAAUUCCCGGUGUAGCGGUGAAAUGCGCAGAUAUCGGGAGGAACACCGGUGGCGAAGGCGGUUCUCUGGGCCUUACCUGACGCUGAGGAGCGAAGCGUGGGGAGCGAACAGG